rnacentral:tRNA from 1 species
GCGAGUGUAGCUCAGUUGGUAGAGCUCUUGAUUUCCAAUCAAGAUGUCGCGGGUUCAAGUCCCGUCUCUCGCUCCA